AUACGAAGGUCCCAAGCGUUAUUCGGAAUCACUGGGCGUAAAGAGUACGUAGGCGGUUUGGUAAGUCAGGUGUGAAAUCCCGAAGCUCAACUUCGGAACUGCAUCCGAUACUGCCAGACUAGAGUAAUGGAGAGGCAGGUGGAAUUCUCGGUGUAGCAGUGAAAUGCGUGGAUAUCGAGAGGACGACCAAUGGCGAAGGCAGCCUGCUGGACAUUUACUGACGCUGAGGUACGAAGGCUAGGGGAGCGAAAGGGAUUAGAAACCCCGGUAGUCC
rnacentral:rRNA from 1 species